rnacentral:rRNA from 1 species
UUUGCGGUGUGGGAUGGGCCCGCGGCCUAUCAGCUUGUUGGUGGGGUGACGGCCUACCAAGGCGACGACGGGUAGCCGGCCUGAGGGGGUGUCCGGCCACACUGGGACUGAGAUACGGCCCAGACUCCUACGGGAGGCAGCAGUGGGGAAUAUUGCACAAUGGGCGAAAGCCUGAUGCAGCGACGCCGCGUGGGGGAUGACGGCCUUCGGGUUGUAAACCUCUUUCACCAUCGACGAAGGUCC